rnacentral:misc_RNA from 1 species
GUUCCUUUCCCCGCCAGUGUCUCCUCUCCAUCGCAUUCCAUCUGUUUGGUUCCCCAUAAACUGGGGGAAAUUUUGCCGGCAGGAUUCGGGAGAAAGGAAAAAACAAUGAAUAAAAGGAACCGAAUAGAAAUAGAAAAAAGCAUCCUAAUUCCUAGUUUUUCUACGCCGCUUGAAAGAAUACUUCUCUACUUCAUUCCGAGAUAUAAACGGUGAAAACCUCUCAUUUCUACACUGUAAACUUGAAGAAGAAGUUAGAAUUUAUUCUCCGAGAUAGAAUUUAAAAUGGCGGUUUCGUCCAUUCGGCUCGUACGCUGCUUGAGGCCUCGCAAUGUGGCCUUUAAUGUGAUUGUGAAUUCGUCUGUAUCACAUACCCAAUCCUUUGUAGCUUCCAUGAGUAGAUUUCGGGGCUCCUCAUCCGAGUAUAAUUUGUGCUGUUUUAGUGGUGGUAUCGUGUCGUUUAGUGCUCUUCGGGCUCGAAAUUUUGCUAAGGUGAGAGACAGAGGACUGAGAACUGAGGAUGAUCAUAUUCUUGGUGAUUCUAUGGAUGAUAUUGAAGACGAGCAGGAUGCAGACAUACGUCCUCAGGUGCAAGAGCGUGAUUUUACUGGCACAGCUUAUGUUCCUGUAUACGUGAUGUUACCUGUUAGUUUACUCUUUCUGUUAUUGUUCUUUCAUUGUGUUUUAUUGGAUACAUUUUCAUCUUAAGUUGGAUAUCUUCCAUAUCAACUCAGUUUGUCCUUAAAGAAAUUUGGAACCUUAAAAUUCAAGUAAUUCAGUUUUGUUUUUAUUGGUUGAAUACCAAUUUUCAGAGGAUACCACUUGCUUAUCAAUUGCUAAUAUAUAAUUUUACAAGUUGUUCUUGUGUCUUAAUAACAUAUUUUGGAGGAUGGGUGGGUGGAAAAUGGCAUGGCAGCUGGGUGUCAUCAACAUGAAUUGUGAGUUGGUUGAUCCUGAAGGUCUUCGAAAUGAGUUAAAGAUCUUGAAAUCAGCUAAUGUUGAUGGCGUUAUGGUUGAUUGCUGGUGGGGAAUAGUAGAGGGUAAUGCUCCGCAGGUAUAUAACUGGAGUGGGUACAAGAAACUCUUUCAGAUUGUGCGUGAACAUAAGCUCAAAUUGCAGGUUGUUAUGUCAUUUCAUAAAUGUGGAGGCAAUGUUGGUGAUAAUGUACAUAUUCCACUCCCUGAAUGGGUGACAGAAAUUGGUCAGACCAAUCCUGACAUAUAUUUUACAGAUAGAAAAGGAAGACGGAAUACUGAAUGCCUCACAUGGGGAAUUGAUAAAGAACGGGUUUUGAAAGGCAGGACUGCUGUUGAGGCUUACUUUGACUAUAUGAGAAGCUUUCGAGUAGAAUUUGAUGAGUUUUUUGAGGGUGGAAUCAUCUCUGAGAUUGAAGUUGGAUUAGGUCCAUGUGGAGAGUUACGUUAUCCCUCAUAUCCUGCAGAGAAUGGGUGGAAAUAUCCUGGUAUUGGUGAAUUCCAGGUAUCUUUUGAUUAACUGGUAAAUAAAUUGGCUUUCAUCAUUGCAAUUGUAGAGAUGUUUGAUAAUUGAUAUUACAUAAAAAAUGAUGGCCGUUGUCCCAUAUUUAGUUGCUUCAGGUAAUCUAAUAGAUAUGGUUUUGUCUUGCCAUCUCCUUUUUCUUAAUAAUUUUUGUUACAACCAUUGCAUUUUUCUAUGAAUUGAUGCAACACUUUUCAGCUCAGUGUUAUGAUAAGUACUUGAUGAAGAGUCUGAGCAAAGCUGCAGAAGUGAGAGGACACUCAUUUUGGGCUAAAGGUCCAGAUAAUGCAAGUUCUUAUAAUUCUGCACCACAUGAGACAAGGUUUUUCUGUGAUGGAGGUGAUUAUGAUAGCUACUAUGGUAGAUUCUUUCUGAAUUGGUAUUCUCGAGUUUUAAUUGAUCAUGGUGAUCGUGUACUUGCUCUGGCCAAUUUAGCUUUUGAAGGCACUUGCAUUUCUGCAAAGAUAUCAGGUAUUCAUUGGUGGUACAAAACAGCUAGUCAUGCUGCUGAAUUGACUGCUGGGUUCUACAACCCUUCAAAUCGUGAUGGCUAUGCUCCAGUUGCAGCAAUGUUGAGUAAGCAUGGUGUUGGUCUCAACUUCACAUGUGUUGAAAUGCGCACAUUGGAUCAGCAUGAGGACUUUCCAGAGGCACUGGCAGAUCCUGAGGGAUUAGUUUGGCAGGUACUGAAUGCCGCGUGGGAUGCUUGCAUACCAGUUGCCAGUGAGAAUGCUCUUCCUUGCUAUGACAGAGAGGGUUAUAACAAGAUAUUAGAAAAUGCCAAACCACAGCAUGAUCCAGAUGGCAGGCAUUUAUCAGCUUUUACCUAUCUCAGGCUCAGCCCUGUUCUCAUGGAGAGGGAAAAUUUUACUGAGUUUGAAAGAUUUGUCAAGAGAAUGCAUGGGGAAGCAGUCGGAGAAUUCAAUCUAAAUUGAAUGGAAGUCAUUGCAAAACCCCCAUUGAUGGAUGGAUGCAGGGGUUGCUGCCUGUGGCUAAACAUCCCUAAUAAGAUAUUGUUAAAUUUUGCUCUUUUUUGUCUGUAAAUCCAGUGUAAUGUGACACUGAAGUAAUACAGUUCAAUGUAAUGAGGCAGUUACUCACAAUAUACAUGCUGAUUAUGGUCGUUUCUUUCUUGAUGGAUAUAAAGAAGAAGAGGUUGAGUAAUAGGAUUCAAGAGAAAAAGAGAGAAAUCUAGAGACGAGAGAGUUCAGAGAAGAAAUUAGAAAGAAAGGGAAGAAGCCAUAGGAGAAGAAAUCAGUGAGAAAUGCUGUUCAUUCUAUAUCAGAAAUGCUAUUCAUUGUAUUAUAUUUUAAACUCAAAUUUACCUCAAAUAUAAUUAUAUCAUAUUUAAAUCUGGC